AAUCCACAUCAUGCUCUAAAUUUGUAUAGUCACUUUGAGUCUUUAUUCAUUUCGUUAUGUCUCUGAUGUACAGUAGUGUUAUUAGAGAAUAAGAUGACAAAAAGGCACAAAUUCACAAUAAAAGAAAAAAAAUAGGAGACAAGGUAACAGGAGUGAGAGAAAAAGAGAGACAGAGAGAUUUAAAAAGUUCAGGAUUAUGGAAUCAUUUGGUUUCUUCAUACUCCAAUUAAAAAUCAAGGAAUCUAAAAAGAGAUAUAUUAGAUUGUCUCUGUUAAAAUAUGUUCUCUCAUAACUUUUGUGUCUUUGAGCUCUUAAAAUCACCCUUCUCUCAGCAUCUGCUUGGAAACCACAUUCCUUAUCAGGGUUCUUCUGUGCUUCCAUUGAAGGCCAUGUAGGAUAAUCACCCUUCACGUCUAACGACGGGAGCGCUACAAUCCGACAUGCAUCGGGGAUCCACUUCGAUGACUUUGCCAUGAUGUGGAUGAAUGCACUGACCCAAGCUACAGUAACAUCUACCUUUUCAGUGAGAGAAGAGAGUGUAAUCCAGAGACUGACAACAGAGGUUCAUGGUCCCAGUGGGAUUGGAAAUCUCUGCAGCCAUUGAUGACAGAAGCUGAUUACAGCCUGGACAAGCUGGCAGGUCAUUACAUGGUCUGAACUUAUUUAAAAAAAAAAAAAUGUC